GAAAAUAACAUCUCCUAAAUGCAAUCCG
rnacentral:sRNA from 1 species